UAGUUUUCUCAUUCAGAUGUAGUUUUCUCAUGAUCCUCUCCCUAUAUAUAUAUAUAUAUAUAUAUAUGAUGAUACAAGUAAGAUCAAGCUUAUGGAUAUAACGCACAUUAGUAUGUGUAUUGAUCAUAUUUCUAAAAGGAGAGGGUACAAGUGAAGUGGCUAUAACCACAUUGAAGCAGCUGUGGACAAAGAAGCAGGUUUUGGAGAUGAUGUCAACAACGGGUUAGUUCACAUACAUGUUGAAAUACAUGUGUGUAGAAGAAGUGUUUCUAGAUUGGGGUCUGUUUUCAAAGUGAGAUUAGGUAGGUAGUUCACCGAUUGAUAUAGCGGCCUUGAGGGAGAGGUAGGGGUGUCGAAGUGGACUUAAGGGAGAAGUAGGGGUGUCGAAAUCGGACAUCAGGGAGAGUUAAUUGCAGAUCUGUAAAAGCCUGCUAAUUGAGUUUAUCAGUUAAUGGACUUCAGAAAUCCGCUGGAUGAGACGUUGAGCAUGCUGGAAGUCCGCUGAUGUUGAUGGUGGGCUUCAGUUCUGGACUAUUUCGAUGCAGUCAAUCACAGGGAAAUGAUGUUGAUGGAAGACUCAAGUCCGCUGCUAAUCCAUGUGGACUACGGAAGUCCCCGGAAUAUAUAUAUAUAUAUAUAGCAUUUAUCAUGUAUCUUUAUUUUGAUGGGUUCUAUUGAUAAACAUAAAUCUUGAAUUAUCACAGAUAUCAAGUGAUCUUCCAUGGUCACAAAUAUAUUUGAUUAACUUGAAUAUAUACAUAAUAAAGAUCUA